rnacentral:other from 1 species
AAGUUCCUGGAAUAUGCGUUGAGACAUUUUAAUUGAACCUACAUAUUUUUAUUGGGAAUCUGAGCUUCAUAGAUGGAUGUCAGGCCUCCUUGAGGGGAAGACAAAAGCUUGAAUAAGAUACCCACCUUAUCUACAGAUAGGGCGUCAAUUAACAUUCUUAACGGUAUUUCGGGAUUUUU